UACGUAGGGGGCGAGCGUUGUCCGGAUUUAUUGGGCGUAAAGAGCUCGUAGGCGGUUUGGCAAGUCGGGCGUGAAAACUCCGGGCUCAACUCGGAGACGCCACUCGAUACUGCUAUGACUCGAGUCCGGUAGGGGAGUGCGGAAUUCCUGGUGUAGCGGUGAAAUGCGCAGAUAUCAGGAGGAACACCGGUGGCGAAGGCGGCACUCUGGGCCGGUACUGACGCUGAGGAGCGAAAGCGUGGGGAGCGAACAGG
rnacentral:rRNA from 1 species